AUUGAACGCUAGCGGGAGGCCUAACACAUGCAAGUCGAACGAGUGGCGGACGGGUGAGUAAUAUCUGGGAAACUGCCCAGUGGAGGGGGAUAACUACUGGAAACGGUAGCUAAUACCGCAUACCAUCGGAUGUGCCAAGAUGGGAUUAGCUAGUAGGUGGGGUAAUGGCUCACCUAGGCGACGAUCCCUAGCUGGUCUGAGAGGAUGACCAGCCACACUGGAACUGAGACACGGCCCAGACUCCGACGGGAGGCAGCAGUGGGGAAUAUUGCACAAUGGGCGCAAGCCUGAUGCAGCCAUGCCGCGUGUAUGAAGAAGGCCUUCGGGUUGUAAAGUACUUUCAGCGGGGAUGCGUUACCCGCAGAAGAAGCACCGGCUAACUCCGUGCCAGCAGCCGCGGUAAUAC
rnacentral:rRNA from 1 species